AACAACGCUGGCGGCGUGCCUAACACAUGCAAGUCGUACGAGAAAGGGUCCUUCGGGACCUGAGUAGAGUGGCGCACGGGUGAGUAACGCGUGGAUAAUCUGCCCUUCAGUUGGGAAUAACUCAUCGAAAGGUGGGCUAAUACCGAAUAACGCUGUGAGACCUUGGUCGAUCAGCCAAAGAGAGCCUCUGCUUGCAUGCCCUCGCUGAAGGAUGAGUCCGCGUACCAUUAGCUAGUUGGUAGGGUAAUGGCCUACCAAGGCGACGAUGGUUAGCUGGUCUGAGAGGAUGAUCAGCCACACUGGAACUGAGACACGGUCCAGACUCCUACGGGUGCAG
rnacentral:rRNA from 1 species